UACGUAGGGUGCGAGCGUUGUCCGGAUUUAUUGGGCGUAAAGAGCUCGUAGGCGGUUGGGUAAGUCGGGUGUGAAAACUCAGGGCUCAACUCUGAGACGCCACUCGAUACUGCCCUGACUCGAGUCCGGUAGGGGAGCGUGGAAUUCCCGGUGUAGCGGUGAAAUGCGCAGAUAUCGGGAGGAACACCAGUGGCGAAGGCGGCGCUCUGGGCCGGAACUGACGCUGAGGAGCGAAAGCGUGGGUAGCAAACAGG
rnacentral:rRNA from 1 species